rnacentral:rRNA from 1 species
CCUACGUGAGGCAGCAGUGGGGAAUAUUGGACAAUGGGGGGAACCCUGAUCCAGCGACGCCGCGUGAGUGAAGAAGUAUUUCGGUAUGUAAAGCUCUAUCAGCAGGGAAGAAAGAAAUGACGGUACCUGACUAAGAAGCCCCGGCUAACUACGUGCCAGCAGCCGCGGUAAUACGUAGGGGGCAAGCGUUAUCCGGAUUUACUGGGUGUAAAGGGAGCGUAGACGGCGAUGCAAGUCUGAAGUGAAAGGCGGGGGCCCAACCUCCGGACUGCUUUGGAAACUGUAUGGCUGGAGUGCAGGAGAGGUAAGUGGAAUGCCUAGUGUAGCGGUGAAAUGCGUAGAUAUUAGGAGGAACACCAGUGGCGAAGGCGGCUUACUGGACUGUAACUGACGUUGAGGCUCGAAAGCGUGGGUAUCGAACAGGAUUAGAUACCCUUGUAGUC